AUAACUCCCUUUAUCUCAGCAAUCUUUUAAGGGCGCGUGACAAAAACAAUCCACGAAACGUCUAUUUACAUAUACUAACGAACCUACUAUAAUAUUGGAUACGCGAAGUUGGAGUUGUUUAUGCAUAAAUCUCCUCGAAUUGUACCUUCAUUUUGAGAUCAUCGUUUUCCUUGAUAACGUCUGAGAUGUGUACAUCUUCAAACACCUUGGCAUCGUAUGUCUUCUCUGAUGCUGUUGGCUGGGUCGGAAGGGAGGCAAACUCUAUCUCAUCGUCUGUCUGCUUACCUCCCUUGCCACGACCUCUUCCUGGUUUGCCUGCAGCAUUGACGGAUGGGCUGGCGAGAGAUCGAAGCCUCGUAACUCUUCCAUGUCUGCUGCUGCUUCAUGACCUUGAACACACAAAUGGACAUCUUGUUAUUAAAGCAUAUGGC